AUGAAUUAUGUGAAUAGUGUAAAAAGUCAAAACGGUGUGAGUAUUAAGGGACAAAGGAGUAACAACUAACAACUCUUAACCUAAGAGGACCAAAGUAUUUUGGGAAUUAUUGAAAGUUUAAGCAAUGUUGAAGCCUUGAAGGAAAUCUUAUUUGGUUUACCGUUGUGAAUUGUGAAUACAGUCACGAAGAAAAUGUUUACGAAACUCAUCGGAAGCUUUCCAAUCACUUAUACGGAGUAUCAACUCGUAAUUUCUCGUGAUCAAAUCCAAGCAGUAUUUCCAAAAGUCUUUUCUUUUUCUCUCCUUUUUUUCCUUUUCAUUUCUUCUAAUCUUCUUCUGGGCUUCGUUUCUCACGGCUAUUUGCUCUUUGUGGCUUCCUUCUUUACCUUUCGUUCUCAUCAUAAUCACAGUCACAAUCGUCUCUAAUUAACGAUGGCACUUUCGUUUUCUGACUUAAUAUGGCGCCCCAAUUUCGUGGGUUUCGGUUUGCUCUUGAAUUUUCUACUUGAAUAAAUCAGAAUUAAUCCGAAUUUCGAGCUCCAAUGUGAUUUUUGAUUAUCGGAACUUAGGGUUUAUCUAAUUCGGGGCCUUUUCCGAUUUGAGUAAUUUGAAGAAAGGGGAGGUGUAUUGUACAAUUAGAAGUGGUCUCAACAGAUUCAAGGCUCAUCAGAAGCAGUUUCUUGGAACAAAUUCCGAAUUAGGAAGUUGCAUUCAUCUUGGCGAAUCCCAGAAAAAAGGGGGAUCUUUGUAGAUGAAAACACUUCUUGGGUCAUGAGCCUUUUGAGAGUCCGGAAAUGAUCAUUGUAGGGUGAAAAGGCAAUUGAUGUGUUGUUGUAAUGCAGGAGCCUCCCAACAAGGGUAUCUGGUCGAUCAGCAAAGAUAGUGUCGUUUUUUACCAGACAUUCUUCCACUGCUGAGGGGGAGGAGAUAAGGAGGACUUUACGCACCCCAAGCUUGAGGAGUAAGAUUUCUCCGUAAGUUGUUGAUAUUUCAUGGAGUGUUUGGUGUAGGGGUCGUUUUAUCAUAUGAAGGUGCCCAAUUAUGGGAAGAGAUGGGGGACUUGGAGGUAGUUUUUUCUUGUUUUUCUUACAAGUUAUCGAAAAUAAUAUAUAAACUAACAAAACAAUUGACAGUGUGAUUGCCCAAGUGAACCAAUUUAACUCUUCCAUCAUGGACAUACUAAACUCCAUGCUAAGCUAAAAUGGUUUGAUUUUCAGCAACUACAUACUAAAUUGAAUUUAUAUGGAAUUAUUUGCAUAAUUGAUUUAUACAUUUAGAGCCCAACUAAAUUGACUAAUACGUAGUAUAGUGCAACAUAUUCAUGUUUGGUAUGCAGUGUUGCUUGGAACGGCGUUCUAUAAAGUAUUACCAAGUCGCCUGCUAUACGAUGACAAAAUUAUUCUGUUUGUCAAGGUUUGGAAAAAUGAAAGUAAUAUGUUGAAGAUUCAAGCGUGCUUUGUUUGAACGGCACUUGAAUAUUGUUUCGUUGAUUUGUAAGUUACACAAGUCAACAUUGUUAUUCUAAUCAACUACUUUCACUGUUUUUUAAGUUAUGCGGUAUUGACAUGACAGGUUUGUCGCUCAUAUUUUGAAAAUAUAUGUUAAUACGAAUUUAACAAGAUCUUAGUGGUCAUAUUUUGAGUAUAUGAAAGUAUGUUUUUUUGUGUGUAUCAAACGGUUCACCAUUAGGGCUAAUCUGGGUUAGAGUCGAAUUCUGAGUGGACAGGUUCCAAUCUCCUCCUAAUUGUUGUUGUGGGGAUCGAACACGGGUCAUUCCUACCAAGUUUAGCCUCAAUCAUCACUGAACUAACAUGCAAUUGAUGGUCGGAGAUAAGUAUGUGAAUGUUGAAUAAGGAGUAAUGCACAAGGUUAAUACUUCCGGUGUUUGAUCUGUUGUCUGAUGACUGUUAUGACUUAUAUUUGUAAGGAAACAAAAAAAAAAAAUUACAAUUGUGUUUUCAUUGAACAUCUUUUUUCAUGGAAAUUAUUUUACAUA